UGGAGCCUGAGGGGCUCACAGCUCCGGUCCUUGGAGCUCCUGAGAGAAUGUUGCUCCGGGGCUGAGUUCUGUGCACCCCCCUUGUCCUCCA
ensembl:miRNA